GACGAACGCUGGCGGCGUGCUUAACACAUGCAAGUCGAACGAAGUGGCGAACGGGUGAGUAACGCGUAAUCAACCUGCCCUUCAGAGGGGGACAACAGUUGGAAACGACUGCUAAUACCGCAUACUGAAGGAGGGGAUUGCGUCUGAUUAGCUAGUUGGAGGGGUAACGGCCCACCAAGGCGAUGAUCAAUAGCCGGUCUGAGAGGAUGAACGGCAACAUGGGGACUGUGACACGGCCAAGACUCCUACGGAGGGCAGAGGUGGGGAAGCUUCCGCAAUGAAGGAAGGCCUGACGGAGAAACGCCGCGGGGGGGAUGACGGCCUUGGGGUUGUAAGCUCUGUUAAUCGGGACGCGGUACCGGAAUAGAAAGCCACGGCUAACUACGUGCCAGCAGCCGCGGUAAUAC
rnacentral:rRNA from 1 species